AACGUAGGACGCAAGCGUUAUCCGGAGUUACUGGGCGUAAAGCGCGUGUAGGCGGUCCGGUAAGUCCGCUGUGAAAGUCGGGGGCUCAACCCUCGGAUGCCGGUGGAUACUGUCGGGCUUGAGUACGGAAGAGGCGAGUGGAAUUCCAGGUGUAGCGGUGAAAUGCGUAGAUAUCUGGAGGAAUACCGGUGGCGAAGGCGGCAUCCUGGACCGAGAUUGACACUGAUGAGCGAAAGCUAGGGGAGCAAACGGG
rnacentral:rRNA from 1 species